UACUAUCUUACCCAACACCCCUGUAUCUAUUACAAGGUUUUGAAGGAACAAACAGAGAUUGCAAUGUUUAAAGCUCCAGGAGAGUUAUUAAAUUGGAAUAAUAUCCAAAAGAUGAAGUAUUCGUGGUGUGUGGUUUGCAAGGCGAUGAGGUUUUCUUCGCUUGCUCAAGGAGCUUUCAGAGAGGCUAUAACUAAUUUCUUUUAUGCUGGUUUUAUCAUUCCAAAAGGAUGAAAGGUUCAUUGAAGUGUGCAUUCUACAUAUAAAAAUCCCAAAUAUUUUCCAAAUCCAGAGAGAUUUGAUCCUUCAAGAUUCGAAGAAAGCAGCCUUACACCUUAUAUUUUUGUUCCUUUUGGAGGAGGUCCUCGCAUGUAUGCAGGAAAAAAGAGUGCUCGGUUGGAGAUUCUUGUUUGUAUGCACAAUAUGGUAACGAAAUUUAAAUGGGAAAAAAUUAUUCUAGAAGAGAAGGUUUUGGAUAUUUCAUUUCCCAUGCCCGUAAAUAGCCUUCCAAUUCUCCUCCAACCUCAUUCCACAAGCCUCAAGUAGAUAAACCAUUGGUGCUUAGGUAAAACUGGUCAUGGUUAUAACUAUAAUCAAGAAUGGAUAGAUAAGCAGAAUAACAUUAUAUGUGGUUUUAUUG